rnacentral:piRNA from 1 species
UGGGGAAAGAAUGGAAUCCACCCACUA